AGUCUUCCACUAGCAGCCUUUGGAUAAAGACAUAGAACUCUCAGCUCCUCCUGUGCAAUGCCUGCCUGGAUACUGCCAUGCUCCCACCUUGAUGAUAAUGGACUGAACCUUUGAACCUAGUUCUCCUGAGUGUUUCUCACUUAAAGUGACUUGGACCUCAGGAACAACAGGUAUGCCUGACAACGUUUGAAGGCAAAGGGUAGAACUCAGCAACUUUCUUAGCACCAACAUAACUCUGCAUUGCCAAUCCUGAGAAAAUGGCCUAAGACAAUGAUCAACCAGUGGAUAGCCAGACCAAGAUGACCUGGAAUCCUACCCGAGAACUUCGAGCUCCUUUGAUUCUCUGCUGUGUGCCCAGGAUGACUGUUGGCAGCUGACAUGGAUCCUUGGGUCACAGUGGUUCCCUGUGGGAUCAAUCUGCUUAUUUAAUAAGCUCCUUUUUUUGGCCUCACCCCAUCUCCUUCUGGAUUUUAUGGGGAAGAGGAGGUAAGACAGGGUCUCUCUUGUGUGCAGUCUAGGCUAGCCUGAAACUGAUCCUCCUGCCUCAGCCUCCUGAGUGUUAGGAGUACAGGCAAGGUGUGAGCCCCCAGGCUCAGACUGUGUGGGAAAAGAAGCUGAGCCCAGUCUACUGGGAUUCCUGGGAGCCAGGCUUCUAUCAGAAGUGAAUGCUUAUGGAACUGAGUGGCACACGGUGAUCUCAUGAAAAAGAAGCUCAAGCUGGUCACACAGGAUAUGCUCAUGGGACUAUGUCAUGUCCCUAUUGGACGGAAGCAGAAAAGUCAUUAAAAUAUUGCCCGUUUC